GGGGAAAUCUGGGAGAAGAGCUAGAUCUAAUAGUCAGAGAAGGAGGAAGACACUAGGGGUCAGCCAUCCAGCUGCACAGCAAGGUGUGGAGUAAGAGUAAGGUUUACAGAAGUUAGAGAAUGGGAAAAGCCCAGAGGCAAAGGUAUAUGGGAUAAUUUAAGUUAAGGAAAGCUGGCUAGAAACUAAACCAACCUAAGCCCAGGCAUUCAU